GUCAAAAUAUUAGUUAGUUUGAGAAAGUUGAUUUUGUUUCCUUUUUAUAGGAACAGGGUGCUAAUGCCGGUAAUGAACCCCAGAAUCUGGGCGGACCGAUUAGACAUACACUCACAGGACACAACACGUGGGUACGGUUGCGCACGUGCACGUUUAGCGACGGCAGUGCACUACGACUUGUACGAGCGCAUGGUGGUCGCUUUAAACCGUUUAUUUUCGCGACUUUGUAUAUCAUCAAGACAAAACGUAAGAAAUUGGUCUCUUAGGAAUCGCUGGCACACCUACCAUGCCUACGUGAUAUAGAUUUUUCAGCAGAGGUUUGGCAGUGAAGUCAUGAAAACUAGAUGGGGGAGGCGUACUCAAUAACAGGUCAAAUAUACUGGAUGUACACUAUUCUGAGGUCACACACUGGUACAUUGCAGUCACAUAAAGGUCUCCCUUGUAAUUGAAUGCACCCUAUAUGCCUGCAUUGCAUUUGGCACACUUUGAUCCUGGACCCCACGCCUGCAUACACACCUGGCAGCUGGCAAUCAGGUCCAAGCAAGACGGUCAGAUUGUGGAAUCAAAGAGGCCAUCAGUCUACAACCUUUAGAAGAGGAAUUUUAAAAAAAUGGGAACUUGUUGGCAAGUGGAUAGAAGCAGAGAUGGCAGUGAGAGGGGAAGAACGUGCUGUCCAUCCAGGAGAAGUCUGUCUUCAGCAGUGACUGUAUGUUGUCUUUUCAAAUAUGAUAAGAUGAUGUUGAGGCCAUACAUUGAUGUCACAGACACAUGCACAAAGUAACUUCAAGGCAAUAUUGAAGAAUUCGAAUAUAGACGCUCAAGCCAAUAGGGGUCCUAAGAUACUACCUGACCAAAUCGCCAUCAGGUUUGACAACUUGGCAAUCACUAUUGUGCAUUUAAUUGUGUGUGUUCAUUUGACCCUAAAAGAAUCAGGGAGUAGAUAGAAUUUGCCCCUCAAGAUAUUUUCUGAUAUCGCCACAGUACAGUAGUUGGGCCUUCAGGAGUUUUUCAGUAACUCUUUUGUGGUCUUUUUGACACUAAUUCUGUGAA
rnacentral:lncRNA from 1 species